UCUCCGUAGGUGAACCUGCGGAGGGAUCAUUACAGGCUUGCAAAAGCUCUGAAACCACUGUUUAUCUACCUGAUUCUGCUCAGGCAGGCAGCCCAAGGGCGGGGCCGUAGCAGCAAGGCGCCCGCCGUAGACCCCUAAACACUGUCUUCUUGAGAAUCCCAGAGGAAUUUUACUAAACAAAAACAACUUUCAACAACGGAUCUCUUGGCUCUG
rnacentral:misc_RNA from 1 species